rnacentral:rRNA from 1 species
ACGGCUGCUCAGUAACACGUGGACAACCUGCCCUCGGGUGGGGGAUAACCCCGGGAAACUGGGGCUAAUCCCCCAUAGGUGAUGGGUGCUGGAAUGCCCCAUCUCCGAAAGCGCUUAGCGCCCGAGGAUGGGUCUGCGGCGGAUUAGGUAGUUGGUGGGGUAACGGCCCACCAAGCCUAAGAUCCGUACGGGCUGUGGGAGCAGGAGCCCGGAGAUGGACCCUGAGACAAGGGUCCAGGCCCUACGGGGCGCAGCAGGCGCGAAACCUCCGCAAUGCGGGAAACCGCGACGGGGUUAGCCGGAGUGCCCGUGCAUUGCACGGGCUGUCGGGGUGCCUAAACAGCACCCCAUAGCAAGGGCCGGGCAAGGCCGGUGGCAGCCGCCGCGGUAAGACCGGCGGCCCGAGUGGCGGCCACUCUUAUUGGGCCUAAAGCGUCCGUAGCCGGCCCAGUAAGUCCCCCGGGAAAUCUGGUCGCUUAACGAUCAGACUUCCGGGGGAUACUGCUGGGCUAGGGACCGGGAGAGGCCGAGGGUAUUCCCGGGGUAGGGGUGAAAUCCUGUAAUCCCGGGAGGACCACCUGUGGCGAAGGCGCUCGGCUGGAACGGGUCCGACGGUGAGGGACGAAGGCCUGGGGAGCGAACCGGAUUAGAUACCCGGGUAGUCCAGGCUGUAAACGAUGCGGGCUAGGUGUCACCGGAGCUACGAGCUCCGGUGGUGCCGGAGGGAAGCCGUUAAGCCCGCCGCCUGGGAAGUACGGCCGCAAGGCUGAAACUUAAAGGAAUUGGCGGGGAGCAG